rnacentral:rRNA from 1 species
UACGUAGGGCGCAAGCGUUGUUCGGAAUUACUGGGCGUAAAGGGCUCGUAGGCGGCCAACUAAGUCGGACGUGAAAUCCCUCGGCUUAACCGGGGAACUGCGUCCGAUACUGGAUGGCUUGAGUUCGGGAGAGGGAUGCGGAAUUCCAGGUGUAGCGGUGAAAUGCGUAGAUAUCUGGAGGAACACCGGUGGCGAAGGCGGCAUCCUGGACCGACACUGACGCUGAGGAGCGAAAGCCAGGGGAGCAAACGGG